GAGUCCAACAUCUGGAUAAAGUGUGCCCAACGUUAACCUUUGUUUUUCUUCUGUUUUCGUAGAAAUGGCUCUUAUUGAAAAUCUGCCUUCAUCACAUACAGAGGUCUAGCCCAUCUGCAAUGCUACCUCCUGGAUGGGACACAGCUAAUUAAACUGACCUAUUCUCAAGAACUAGACAGGGCUUAUGACCACUAUCAUGAAUAUUCAUAGCUCUUCCUGUAACUUGUUAAAUAUAUAUUUAGCCAACCUGUCAUCAUAUCCAUUACAAUUGGCUUAAUUAUUAAGACUAAAUGCUGCAUAUAUAUCCCAGAUAAUUCAGGAGAUGUCUUGAUAACCCUGUAUAUUAGUUCUCACACUGCUAUAAAGACAUACCAGAGACUGGGUAAUUUAUAAAGAAAAGGGGUUUAAUCAUCUCAUGGUUCUGUGGGCUCUACAGGCUUCUGCUUUUGGGGAAGCCUCGGGAAACUUACAGUCAUAGUAGAAGGCAAGGGCAAAGUAGGCACAUCUUCACAUGGGCAGCAGGAGAAAGAGACAGACAGAAGGGAGAAGUUCUACACACUUUCAAAGAAUCAGAUCUCAUGAAAACUUACUGUCAUGAGAACAGCAAGGGGGGAAGUCCACCUUCAUGAUCCAGUCACCUCCCACCAGGCCCCUCCUCCAACAUUGAGGAUUACAAUUCAACGUGAGAUUUGGGUUGGGACACAGAGCCAAACCAUAUCACCCUCCAAGACAUGAACCAACAAAUCAAAGUUAUGUCUAAUCCGACAUUGUUGCUAGAUCAUCCUGAUUCAGGUCAGGACUAUUUUGGUGGCAGAAGCUACUUAUGACUUUGGUCCUUGUGCAAGAAUAAGCAGACUUCCACGUUGUGGAUUUUACUGUCGUUGCACCCUCUGAAAAGGAAUGCAAGGCAGGCUUUCCCAGAAACUUUCUAGACCUUGCAUCAUAAUGCUCCAACAAAUAUUAUCUGUAAGUCCAGGUACUCAUGAAUAUUUCCAGCCCCAAGUAGAUUAGUUCCCUUCUGAUGCUCAGUGACUAUGUCUCCAUUAGCAGUAAGUACUUAGCUAGAAUGAAUACAGUGCCCAAAUCCCAUAGAAAUGGAAUGGAACCUGGCAGUGAGGAAUUGUAACAGAGUACAUCCAUUUUUCUAAGAGAUAAAAUGAAUAAUUAAAAAAAUUUUUUCUCUUUCCCCCUUUUCCCCGCUUCCUACUUAGCUCUUUGGAAAUGCAAUUAUAACCUUUUACCUCCCCUUCACCAGACACUCCCUACAGGGCAAGCGCAUCUAACUUUGUCCUAAGAAGCUCUGCUGGGAAGCUCUCUCCAACCAGGAGGUUGUCUUAAGAGAAAACAGUUAAUUUACAUCCCAAAGUAUGCCCACUACAAAACUCUGUCCCACCUGGAGCGUUUUGGCCACCUUUACAAUAUAGUUCUGCCCACAAAGGCACCAGUAGUCACCAGCUCAACUACCCACUAGAUAAAGCCCUGAAGCAAGUUAUGUGGACCCCUAGCUUCUCACUUCCUCUCUUGUAUGCCAUUCAUGCAAAGCCCCCUUUUAAAAGCACUAACUUUCGGCCGGGCGUGGUGGCUCACGCCUGUAAUCCCAGCACUUUGGGAGGCUGAGGUGGGAUGAUCGCGAGGUCAGGAGUUCAAGACCAUCCUGGCUAACAUGGUGAAACCCCAUCUCUACUAAAAAUAAAAAAAAAAAAUUAGCUGGGCGUGGUGGUGGGCGCCUGUAGUCCCAGCUACUCGGGAGGCUGAGGCAGGAGAAUGGUGUGAACCCAGGAGGCAGAGCUUGCAGUGAGCCAAGAUCGCGCCACUGCACUCCAGCCUGGUGACAGAGCAAAACUCCAUCUCAAAAUAAAUAAAUAAAAAAUAAAUAAAAGCACUCACUUUCUGCUCCAAAAGUGAGGUGGUGCCCCUAAGGCAGGAAGUCUGCAUAUGUUCUCCUAAGUUAGCUUUGGAAUAAAAAGUCACUUUCUUUAUACCAGGCCUCACUCUUGUUAAUUGGACUCUGCAAGCAGCUGCAUUUUGGUUACACUUUGGUACAUUCAGUAAUAGCUUUUCUUUUCUUUUCUUUUCUCUUCUCUUCUUUUCUUUUCUUUCUUGAAAGGGUCUCACUGUCAUCCAGGCUAGAGUGCAAUGAUGCAAUCAUGGCCCACUGCAGCCUCAAUCUUCUGGAUUCAAGUGAUCCUCCCACUUCAGCCUCCUGAGUAGCUGAAACUACAGGUAGAAGCACUUGAAAAAACAAUCAGGACCAACCUGUCUUUCCGUCUCCAAGAGAAGUUGAAUCAAGAUCUGGCGUUGAUCAUGCGAUCCUGGACAUAAUGUCAGUGCAAUCAUUGGACAAGUCUUUUGGGAUAUCUUGGGGAAGAGGAUGAGUAUAUUUUUCCCAGCAGCCAGGAAGGAAAUGAAUAUUUAUGAUCCAGUGUGCAGAUCAUGGUAGAUUGGAUUAUUGUUUUCAAUUCUUCACUCUCUCCCUGUGUUUGGAUUUCGCAGCCACAUACUUUGUUAUAUGACUUUGCGGUAUCUCCUGUUAGAAUAGAUGGAGUCCAUUUCUCUCCUAGCAUUGGGUUUGGGUGUGUGAGUUUUGGGUGGAUAGAACAUACGCCACAUCUGAGCAGAUGUUUUGAGAGCCCUUGCAUGGUUCAGCCAUUGCUCUUUUAUCUCCACCAUGAGACUGAGGUAUAGGCUGCUCCUUCAGCCUGUGCCCUGGAAGAAUGAAGACACAUGGUGCAGACAUGUAACAUGAGUGAGAAAUGAACACUUAUUAUUGUAAGCCACUGAGAUUUGGGUGUAAUUCGUUACCGUGGAAUAACCUUGUGAAAGAUGACUACUAUGUUGUGUAAAUAAACACACAAACCAAAACAACAACAAGAACAACCAAAAUAAAUUUCAGGAUAAUGUCUUGAGUUUUU